rnacentral:rRNA from 1 species
GUGAGGAAUUUUCCGCAAUGGGCGAAAGCCUGACGGAGCAAUGCCGCGUGAAGGAUGAAGGCCUAUGGGUUGUAAACUUCUUUUCUCAGAAAAGAAUUAUGACGGUAUCUGAGGAAUAAGCAUCGGCUAACUCUGUGCCAGCAGCCGCGGUAAGACAGAGGAUGCAAGCGUUAUCCGGAAUGGUUGGGCGUAAAGCGUCUGUAGGUUGUUUAAAAAGUAUUCUGUCAAAGAUUAGGGCUUAACCCUAGAUAGGCAGAAUAAACUUUUAAGCUAGAGUUUGGUAGAGGCAGAGGGAAUUCCCGGUGGAGAGGUGAAAUGCGUAGAUAUCGGGAGGAACACCAAAGGCGAAGGCACUCUGCUGGGCCAAUACUAACACUGAGAGACGAAAGCGAGGGGAGCAAAUGGGAUUAGAAACCCGGGUAGUCC